CCAGACUCCUACGGGAGGCAGCAGUGAGGAAUAUUGGUCAAUGGCCGGAAGGCUGAACCAGCCAAGCCGCGUGAAGGACGAAGGUGCCAAGCAUUGUAAACUUCUUUUGUCAAGGGACAAAAUCAGGCUCGAGAGCCUGACCGAGGGUACUUGAAGAAAAAGCAUCGGCUAACUCCGCGCCAGCAGCCGCGGUAAUACGGAGGAUGCGAGCGUUAUCCGGAUUUAUUGGGUUUAAAGGGUGCGUAGGCGGACUGUUAAGGCGGCGGUAAAAGCCGGGGGCUCAACCCCGGCGAGCCGUUGAAACUGGCUGUCUUGAGAUGUCGAGAGGUAUGCGGAAUGCGCAGUGUAGCGGUGAAAUGCUUAGAUAUCGCGCAGAGCCCCGAUUGCGAAGGCAGCGUACCGGCUCCACACUGACGCUGAGACACGAAAGCGUGGGUAUCGAACAGGAUUAGAUACCCUAGUAA
rnacentral:rRNA from 1 species